rnacentral:rRNA from 1 species
UACGAAGGGGGCUAGCGUUGCUCGGAAUCACUGGGCGUAAAGCGCACGUAGGCGGAUCCUUAAGUCGGGGGUGAAAUCCUGGAGCUCAACUCCAGAACUGCCUUCGAUACUGAGGAUCUCGAGUCCGGGAGAGGUGAGUGGAACUGCGCGUGUAGAGGUGAAAUUCGUAGAUAUUCGCAAGAACACCAGUGGCGAAGGCGGCUCACUGGCCCGGUACUGACGCUGAGGUGCGAAAGCGUGGGGAGCAAACAGG